rnacentral:misc_RNA from 1 species
AAAAUGCGAUAAGUAAUGUGAAUUGCAGAAUUCAGUGAAUCAUCGAAUCUUUGAACGCACAUUGCGCCCGCCAGUAUUCUGGCGGGCAUGCCUGUCUGAGCGUCAUUUCAACCCUCGGGACCCCUUUCGCGGGACCCGGCGUUGGGGAUCAGCCCGAAGCCCCCCGGGGCGGGCGGCUGGCCCCGAAAUCUAGUGGCGGUCCCCCCAGCGACCUCCUCUGCGCAGUAGUAACUCACCUCGCAGCUGGACAGCGGGAGGGCCACGCCGUAAAACCCCCAACUUCUCAAAGGUUGACCUCAGAUCAGGUAGGAAUACCCGCUGAACUUAAGC